rnacentral:lncRNA from 1 species
AAAAAAAAAAAAAAAGAAACUUGAAUUUUACAAUAUGUAUAUAUAUAAAGUAAGGAACUUUGCAAACUUACGUAUAAAUGGACAAAAUAGCUCUAAAUAUAGAACUUGGUAUAUUUUUGAGUUAAAAAAAGGAAAAUACUCAAUCCAUUAGGAAAAAAUUGUAUUAAAAAGGAUAAUAAAUUAGAAAACAAGUGAUUCUAAGAAUAAAGCACCACUAUCAGAUCAACCCCCCACACCCCCCUCAAUUUGUCAAUUUGAGUCAGCUGUAGCUCAUGGUCCACCAUGAGGUGGAUACCAAUCAAUAUCAGUGGUUCAAAUGGACUCGGUUGAAUGGCGGAAAGUGCACUCAAUAUCUUUUCCACUUCUACUAUUAUUAAGCUGGAGGACCAACACAUUGUUGACAAACAACGAGAAAUAUGAGUAAUCCGUCUGUCAGUUUCACAUAAUCUCUCAGCCCAAGCGCUCAGCGCUGAUCUACAGAGCAAUGCAUUCAGUAUCUUUGGCAUAGAUGGAUUCCGAGAGCCUAACUCUUCGACCAUUCAGGGUGAGCGAUGUGGAUGACUUAAUACUGUGGGCGGGUGAUGAGCAAGUCACUCGAACCAUCCGAUGGAAGACCAUCACCUCUAAGGAGGAAGCCUUGACCUUCAUCAAAGAAGUCUGCAUCCCCCACCCUUUUUGUCGAUCCAUAUGUAUAGAUGACCGCUCCAUCGGCUUUGUUUAUGUCAUCAGGGCAAGGUUCAAAGUAUCGGCCGAGUCCGGUACGACUCGGCCGAGUCGUAUCCGCCUCGACACCUGCCGCGACGAGACCGAUACCAGAUACGGUAUAAUGCAUGAACUCGACUGGGAAUCGGUUAGACUCGACUGACUUGUCUGAGUUUCCGAGUUAACUCGGUUGACUCGGUUAGGUUACAGAGAAUUUUCAAAUUUUUCAUAAAAUAAAAAAAAAAAAUUAACCAGAGAUUGCCCUUCCAAAAGCAAACACCUAUUCUGAAAUUUUAAACCAUCAAUAAGAAGAUCAAAGAAGAUGAAGAAGAAAAAACCCUAACCGUAACCCAUUCGGAAAUAAGCGGAGAAACCACCGAAGGAUGAGGGCAUGAUUUAUGAUUUACUUACCUGAUUUUCCUCAAAAUCGAGCAUUACCAGAGGGUGGAGCUUUGGUGUCGGCGGUGGUGACUCGUCAAGUGGACUGAAUAUUUCAUCGGCGGCGUCGACAAGACAACCCCUCGCAAUCAGAUUGCUCCCCCUCCCAUGUUAGGAACGGUUAUAAAUUUGCGAUUGCAAGUGGUGUCGUCUGUUGUGGGUCUUGACAGCAUGGUGGUGUGCGAGGGUGGGAGAUUGAGAGCUCUGUUGUGGGUCUUGACAGCAAUGGUGGCGAGGACGGGAGAUUGGGGCUCAAAUUAGUAAAGUAAAAAAGCUACCUUUUAUACGGAUUUACACGGAGAAUUAAGGCCAAUUUACCUGAAA